rnacentral:misc_RNA from 1 species
GAUGAAGAACGCAGCGAAAUGCGAUACUUGGUGUGAAUUGCAGAAUCCCGUGAACCAUCGAGUCUUUGAACGCAAGUUGCGCCCGAAGCCAUUAGGCCGAGGGCACGCCUGCCUGGGCAUCACACGUCGUUGCCCCCCCAUCUACUCCUUCGGGAUUGCGGGGGGCGGAUGAUGGCCUCCCGUGCGCCUCGUCGCGCGGUUGGCAUAAAUGCCAAGUCCUCGGCGACGCACGCCACGACAAUCGGUGGUUGCGAAACCUCGGUUGCCCGUCGUGUGCGGUCGUCGCGCAUCGAGGGCUCGAAAAAAUUGCCGGGCUCCGGCUCGGCUUUCAACGCGACCCCAGGUCAGGCGGGGUUACCCGCUGAAUUUAAGCAUAUCAAUAAGCGGAGGA